GAUGAACGCUGGCGGCGUGCCUAAUACAUGCAAGUCGAGCGAACGGACGAGAAGCUUGCUUCUCUGGUGUUAGCGGCGGACGGGUGAGUAACACGUGGAUAACCUACCUAUAAGACUGGGAUAACUUCGGGAAACCGGAGCUAAUACCGGAUAAUAUUUUGAACCGCAUGGUUCAAAAGUGAAAGACGGUCUUGCUGUCACUUAUAGAUGGAUCCGCGCUGCAUUAGCUAGUUGGUAAGGUAACGGCUUACCAAGGCAACGAUGCAUAGCCGACCUGAGAGGGUGAUCGGCCACACUGGAACUGAGACACGGUCCAGACUCCUACGGGAGGCAGCAGUAGGGAAUCUUCCGCAAUGGGCGAAAGCCUGACGGAGCAACGCCGCGUGAGUGAUGAAGGUCUUCGGAUCGUAAAACUCUGUUAUUAGGGAAGAACAUAUGUGUAAGUAACUGUGCACAUCUUGACGGUACCUAAUCAGAAAGCCACGGCUAACUACGU
rnacentral:rRNA from 1 species